CAGCAGCCGCGGUAAUACGGAGGGUGCAAGCGUUAUCCGGAUUCACUGGGUUUAAAGGGUGCGUAGGUGGGUUGGUAAGUCAGUGGUGAAAUCCCCGAGCUUAACUCGGGAACUGCCAUUGAUACUAUCAGUCUUGAAUACCGUGGAGGUCAGCAGAAUAUGUCAUGUAGCGGUGAAAUGCUUAGAUAUGACAUAGAAUACCAAUUGCGAAGGCAGCUGGCUACCCGAAUAUUGACACUGAGGCACGAAAGCGUGGGGAUCAAACAGGAUUAGAUACCCUGGUAGUCCACGCCCUAAACUAUGGAUACUCGACAUACGCGAUACACUGUGUGUGUCUGAGCGAAAGCAUUAAGUAUCCCACCUGGGAAGUACGACCGCAAGGUUGAAACUUAAAGGAAUUGACGG
rnacentral:rRNA from 1 species